CUAUUCUUCCGGGGGCUGGGACAUCUGUUUGGGAUCGGGAGUGAAUAGGAGAGUGAGCAGGGGAGGGAGAGCCAAAGCGAGCGAGGGCUCGACAGCAACUGCGCGGUAGCGGCAGGAGCGCUGGUGACCGGAGGGGCCGCUAGUCCUCCAACAGGUCCUCGAGACGGCAGUAGCUGAGGAAGAAGAUGGAGGUAACUUAUUCGAUCCUCCGUGGCAUGCGAGCCCUAGCUCGGUCAAAAAGGCGGUGCCGGCGCCGUAGAGCGGCAGUUAGAGGUGGUGGCCGCGUAGGGCCGGAGCCGCUCGUGCAGGUACCGGAGGAGCCCUGGGGCUCUGGCGACGACUACGGGGACACUGGCUGAUGCAGUGGUUGCCUAGAAGAAGGAAAUGUCGUCUCGAAGGUCUACCACCUCGGGUCCUAGGUCUGCGGUGGAAGUUGCUACUGACGAUGAUGUGACUCCCACGGAUGAUGAUGCACCUCUGGCGGUUACUGAUCCUCAUCAAUCCUCCGAGGGUCCAUCCUCCGGAACGGAAAAGCUAGCUACUACGAAAACACGAUCGGAAGAAUUCCGUUUGAACAGAUUGAGUACAGACAUGAGUCUAUAAAAACGAAGGUGACUGAGAACACAAAAGCUCGAAUUCAUAAGCUCGGGAGCUCCGGCGACCG
rnacentral:rRNA from 1 species